AACGAACGCUGGCGGCAUGCCUAACACAUGCAAGUCGAACGAGACCUUAGGGACUAGUGGCGCACGGGUGCGUAGAGCGUGGGAACCUGCACUUAGGAUCGGAAUAACCCCUCGUCAGGGGUGAUAAUACCGGACAACGUCUUCGAACCAAAGAUAGAUCGCACUUGGAUGGGCCCGCGUUGGACUAACUGGUUGGUAGGGUAAGAGCCUACCAAGGCGACGAUCCAUAGCUGGGUUGAGAGACUGAUCAGCCACGCUGGGACUGAGACACGGCCCAGACUCCUACGGGAUGGAGGAGAGGGGAAUAUAGGACGAUCGAGGAAAGUCUGAUCCAGCAAUGCCGGGUGAGUGAUGAAGGCGGUAGUGAAGUAAAGCCCGUUUAUCCGGGGUGAUAAUGACAGUACCGGGAGAAUAAGCACCGGCUAACUCCGUG
rnacentral:rRNA from 1 species